UACGGAGGGUGCAAGCGUUGUCCGGAUUUAUUGGGUUUAAAGGGUGCGUAGGCGGUCUUUUAAGUCAGCGGUGAAAUCCUCCAGCUUAACUGGAGAACUGCCAUUGAUACUGGAAGACUUGAGUACAGACGAGGUAGGCGGAAUUGACAGUGUAGCGGUGAAAUGCGUAGAGAUCAUGAGGAAGACCAGUGGCGAAGGCGGGUCUCUGGACAGUUCCUGACACUGAGACACGAAGGCCAGGGGAGCAAACGGG
rnacentral:rRNA from 1 species